rnacentral:tRNA from 1 species
GCCUGGGUGGCUCAGUAGUUGAGCGCCUGCCUCCGGCGCAGCAUGUGAUCCUGGAGUCCUGGGAUCGAGUCCCACAUCGGGCU